UUGUUUUUCAACUACAGAAACUUU
rnacentral:tRNA from 1 species